CUGGCUGCACUGCAACUUCUCCAAGGCUUUUAGUGCUGUUGGUGCUGAGAAAGGGUGGCUGCGAAGACAAAUGAAAGGCAAAUACUGGUGGGAGAAGAGCAGGAGCUUUUCUUUCAUGCAUAUGAGCGAAAGCAGAUGAAUCCCAUCUCCUGCACAGCUGCAGCCUCCUCCCAGCCUCACCAGCCCUGCUAAGGAGUGGAGAUGUGCUUCCAAGAUUAGCUGUCUGGCGAGUGUUGCACAAAGAUAAAGUCAUUUAUCCUGCGGCCUCACUUGGUCACGGAGAGGAUCAGGGAGGCUAUUCAUAUGCUUUGUACCCCAGCUGGAUUUACCCUGCAGCAGUCACUGAGCUGGGGUGGGUUUUAGCUUGCCUGCACUCAGGCCAAGGGGUGUCUGCUGGUCCCCGUGCUGAAGGAGAAGCUCAAACCGGGGCUGCAGACAGAGCUGGAGCUGGUAUCUAUGCUGCAAAAUCAUCUCCCGGCAGUGGGAGCAGGCAGGAGGAGAGCUGGUAGGAUGCAAACCUGCAUCCCUGUGCUCAGUGAACCUUAGCAUGUAGGUGUCCCAGAAGCACGCUCACUGUCCUUGUUGUCUGUAGGGUGGUCCUGCUUUCAGCACCUCCCGCCCGGCCUGCGCUGAGCUGUCGCGCUGGAACGGCCGCCUGGCGUGAAGGGGAGCGCGGCCACCCCCGGGGGGUCCUGCCAACGCCCCCGCUCCCACCGCUUCGGCUCAGAUGACAGCGAGCCGACAGCGUGGCACGCUCUCGCUGCAAGAGGACCUGUGGAGGGGGACAGGCAGCUGGGGAAAGCCCAGAGCUCCCAUAGUCCUGUUAUCCUGACCUUACUGCCCUCCACCAUUGCCUUUUUUCUACAGGAGCUGAAGCUCUUUUCUGAUAGCGCAAAUGAAAUAACUGAAGCUUGAUUGUGUCAGAUGGAGAGCAUCACUGGUUUAGGUGUCUUCUCUCAGAUCCCAGUCCCAAAAACUAGGAACUGCCUGCUCCCUUUCAUCUUGUUAUAGAAGACUACACUAGCAGUUCUUCUGCCAAGACAUUAGGUCAGCUACUCUCAUGGAUGUUGGGCACAACAGAUUCAGCAGUGUUAUUUCCUUCUCUCGUAUGAUGGCAUCUGUUAUUAAAGUUCACAUCAACCCGUAGAGUCUUUCAGUAGAAGCGACAGGGGCACGGAACCUCUUCGCCCCCGGCUCUGCUUUUCACACCCGAACAGGACAAUCUUGUUCCAGUCUCUGUAAGGCAGAGCAGUACGCCGCCACCUUCCCACGCCGGUUGCUAAAAGCCACUCCGUGCGACAAGGCUCUUCAACUUCCUUCGCUCAGGGCCUGCGGAGGAAUGGAGAGGCAGAAGCAUUUCUCCUUGCAGAGCAGUACGUUAUGCAAAUAGCCUGGGACUCAUCACGGAGUAUUCCCGAAUGGGAAUAAGCCCCUUGAUGCUGCUUCUGUGUUUUAGCUUCUACCUAGACUUCGUAACUCUAGCUGGUCCAAGCUCACUUCCCAGCAGGUUCAGAGCAUGGCCACUGGCACUGUGAACCCAAAAGGCAGUGAACAGGCAAAGCAGGUUCAGGCUUCUGUCGGGUGCCUUGUACCUGCGCCCUGCCCUGGCAGAUGGUCCCGUCGCAGGCUGUCCGCCCUAAAGAGGAGUAUUUGGGCAAGGACCAGGCACACAGACCGAAGCCAGGACUCCACAGGCAAGCGGGGCAGUCACCAACAGAGCUUCCUCCAGCUGACUUCUCUGAAGAGUUGCGUGCCUUCCCCAACCUCUCGUGUGUGUUCUCGGCGGCCCGCAAGGCACCAAGGAGCAGUCUGCCCCAUACCCAUGCCACCCCAGGAAUGCCCAGCGGGACAGACUGACUCUUUGCCAGCUGCAAUGCAAGAGCAAAAAGAGGGUCGCACCCUUUUCCAUUAACACUGUGUUUGAGCGUGUCCUGCUUGUAUGUGCUACCAACCGCCCAGCCUAGACACAAUUUGGCUGACUUGGUCUGAAGAUACGGCCACACUAAGCAAUCCAACCAGCUAUGGCAUAGGAAAGUUCAUGCUUACAAAA